CUUUUUAGGUCGCCUGAGCCGAAGCAUCGAGUAAGCUUUUCUGAUUGAAAAUUGUUCGCUGUCUGUUGUUGUCGUCGUUGUAAACUUUUUCAAAUUUUCAUCUUCUUCUAAAGAACCACUGGGCCAAUUUCGAACAAACUUUACUGUGGGUAAUUAAAGGAAAUACAAAUUUUUUCAAAGGAAGGGUCUUCAAAUGGGAAAUAAUUGAGUAUUCGUGAAAAAAUUAUUCAUCUGUUUAAAAUUCUUCUCUAGAACCACCGUGCUAAAAAAAUAUGAAACUAUGUGGAAACAUCCUCAGAUAGUGUAGAUUCAUGUUUGUUUAAAACUUGACCCCUGGGAUAGGGUUUGUCAACAGUGGGCGAUGAGAAUGUUACAUAGGAAUACAUAGGGAACAUCAUAAAAAAUCUUCACAAGGACAGCAAAACCAUGGUUAGUCAUAAUUAAAGGGUAUUAUGGGACCACAACGAAAGUUAGUAAAAAUUCAAUUUUGGUCAAAUCUUACCCCCUUCCUUUUAGGGAUAGGUCCUGUCAACUUAAGCAUUUAAGUUUUUCAAUACUGUACUGAUUUUUGCUUUUUACCUAACCACAGUGUUCAGAUGAGCUAUGUGGCCCCUGGGUAUCUUGUAUUUUUCGUUGUCAAGUAUUAACUGAAGUAAAACUAUUCCAGUGACGGGGCUAAACGUUGCGGUCCAUUCUUUGUCGCCUAUAAUGUGAUAGAGCAGUUUAUCCUCGACAAGGAAAUCGAUAUUUUUACAGCAACACGACUGAUACAAAUUCGAAGACCGGAAUUUAUUUCCACUCCUGAGGAAUACCAGUUCUGUCAUGAUCUUGUAGCAGAAUACCUACAGGCUGAUACGAUAUAUGACAACUUAAACUCUAAACAUUAAGAGCCAGAAGACCACAUACGACAUAAAGAACAUCAUUUUGUUGAAGUUCUGUAUCACAUUUGUAAGAUAUUUGGAAAACAUACACAAUUAAUGUAAAAAUAUUAUAAAGAAUAGAUCGACAUUAAAUAUAUUUCAAUUUUAUUGACCUCCUAGGUAAAUUGUAAAAACUACUAAUCUAUUUAAUCUGAUUGCAAUAUUUCUAUGGUAUCUACAUGUAUCUGUGUUAACUGUUUCUUCAAAUCUUUGGUAAUAUAUUACCCUUUACCUUGUACAUGUUGUCAACAGAACGUAUGUUCAAAUGUUUUCUUCUUUGAUUAUAUCCAUUACCUUUCCACUCUGAAAACAUAAUUUUUUGGAAAAUGUCCUUAAUUUACAAAGAUAUUCAAAGUAAUAAGUAUUAUGGACAAUUUGUCCUCGAUAAUUAAUAAGAAAUAAUAUAUUUAAGUUUGAUUUUCAAUUACUCUUUUUUUAGUUUCAUAUUCUUUAGCAUUAGCACUAAAGUACAUGUGCAGAUUUUUACAAGUUGAACGAAUUCUUGUGUCCCAAUAAACGAAGACUCGAUAUAUGUAUGUUUUUGCCCUGUAUGUCUAGGGCUUAAUUUGUCUGCAAAAACAAAACUUGCCAAUAACUUCCAGCUGAAAUUAUGGGUAACAUAUUUCAUGCACCUAAGAAUUCCUUUUUAACAAAAUAUUUCUUUGGUACCAAUACAUUUGACCUCUAGUAGUUUGACCAACUUUUGCAAAAUUAUACUUUCAGAUUGACCUAACAUUUGAACAGUUGGAGAUGGGCUUUUAUACUUUAUUAGUAUAUUUCUCAACGUAGAUAUUUUCCUCUGGUAUUGAUAAUUUUGAAGUACAUGUAUUGAUAUUUACCUUGCAUUUUAACAUACUUUAAAAUAUGAGUUUGGUCGUAUUUUGGAAAUGUGUAGGGGCUUUUGAAUUUCAGAGGUGUAUUUGGUGUGACAAAACCGGUCAAUAAUCUUGACAUUCGUUUUUAAGUUUGACCUACUUUAAAAUCUUUAAACAAGGCCAAAUAUUUCUACAGGUAGUGCCUGAGAUUUUAUAUUUCACACGUGUAUUCCUUUUAAAAAGACUUCUUUUUUUUAACAAUUUUGACCUUCCACCCUGUUUUUUCUUAUGACGUUGAAAUUUAUCUUGCAAUUGAUAAACUUUAACCUUCAGUCUUGAGCUUCUAUAUGGUGACAUCAGUGUUUCAUUCACACAACUUGUUAUAUCUUGUUAAAAGGAGAUAACUUUUAUAGUUUUUCUUCAAAUUAAGAAAUUAAUUAUCCUUUAGUAUAUCCUAUAUUAUAAUUGUAUUAUACUUAAUAUGUAUUUUCUGCUUUUGUAAUGUUAAUUCGUUGUAAAAUUAAUGAAAUAUAUGGAGAUGUAUAAUUAAAUCAAAUUAAAUUAGUUUUAAUCAAUAGCAUUUUUCUGAUAAUAAAGAUGGAUUUUAUGUUGUUUACAUCCCAUUCUAGAAUUUUCACGCAGGUAGAGAGGUCAAGAUGCCGUUAAACAGUGUGGUAAAAAUAGCUUGAAAAGCUGACUUAUAAUUUUUUUUUCUUAUGUCAUACUUUCGUGUUAAAAUUAUUUUUUUCAAUUUUUGAUAUCUGUUUUUCCCAAAAGUGUCAAUACCCUGCUGAGUGCCCAAAACAUGGCCUUUAAGGUAACAACAGUUGAAAAAGCAAGACAAUAAAAAAGUGUAAAUUUGUUAUUUGGGAGAAUGAACAAAAUAACUAUACCACGAUUUUUAAAGGACAAUGCAAACUUGUUUGCUCUCGGUCAGCGAUGGUUUUCCUAAACUUUCAUUUGUUUCAGAGGAAAAAUAGAAUUACAUUUUGUACGGAAUUAA